UAGCAUAUCAAUAAGCGGAGGAAAAGAAACUAACAAGGAUUCCCCUAGUAACUGCGAGUGAAGCGGGAAAAGCUCAAAUUUAAAAUCUGGCAGCCUUCGGUUGUCCGAGUUGUAGUCUGGAGAAGCGUUUUCCGCGCUGGACCGUGUAUAAGUCCCUUGGAAUAGGGCGUCAUAGAGGGUGAGAAUCCCGUCUUUGACACGGACUACCAGUGCUUUGUGAUGCGCUCUCAAAGAGUCGAGUUGUUUGGGAAUGCAGCUCAAAAUGGGUGGUAAAUUCCAUCUAAAGCUAAAUAUUGGCGAGAGACCGAUAGCGAACAAGUACCGUGAGGGAAAGAUGAAAAGCACUUUGGAAAGAGAGUUAAACAGUACGUGAAAUUGCUGAAAGGGAAACGCUUGAAGUCAGUCGCGUUAUGCAGAACUCAGCCUGGCUUUUGCUUGGUGUAUUUUCUGUAUGACGGGUCAGCAUCAAUUUUGAUCGCUGGAAAAAGGUCUCAGAAAUGUGGCACCUUCGGGUGUGUUAUAGUCUGGGGUCAUAUACAGCGGUUGGGAUUGAGGUCUGCAGCACGCCUUUAUGGCUGGGGUUCGCCCACAUUCGUGCUUAGGAUGCUGGCGUAAUGGCUUUAAACGACCCGUCUUGAAACACGGACCAAGGAGUCUAACAUGCCUGCGAGUGUUUGGGUGGAAAACCCGAGCGCGUAAUGAAAGUGAAAGUUGAGAUCCCUGUCGUGGGGAGCAUCGACGCCCGGACCAGACCUUUUGUGACGGAUCUGCGGUAGAGCAUGUAUGUUGGGACCCGAAAGAUGGUGAACUAUGCCUGAAUAGGGUGAAGCCAGAGGAAACUCUGGUGGAGGCUCGUAGCGAUUCUGACGUGCAAAUCGAUCGUCAAAUUUGGGUAUAGGGGCGAAAGACUAAUCGAACCAUCUAGUAGCUGGUUCCUGCCGAGUCUCCC
rnacentral:rRNA from 1 species